GUAGGAGACUAGCGUUAUUCGGAUUUACUGGGCGUAAAGCGCGUGCAGGCGGUUCGGUAAGUUGGAUGUGAAAGCUCCUGGCUUAACUGGGAGAGGUCGUUCAAUACUGCCGGACUUGAGAGUGGUAGAGGGAGUUGGAAUUCCGGGUGUAGUGGUAAAAUGCGUAGAUAUCCGGAAGAACACCAGUGGCGAAAGCGGACUCCUGGACCAUUUCUGACGCUCAGACGCGAAAGCUAGGGGAGCGAACGGGAUUAGAGACCCCGGUAGUCCUAGCUGUAAACGAUGUAGACUUGGCGUUGGAGGGGUUAAAUCCUUCAGUGCCGAAGCAAACGCGAUAAGUCUACCGCCUGGGGACUACGGCCGCAAGGUU
rnacentral:rRNA from 1 species